AACGAUGANCUUGGAACUUGCUCUGGGGGAUUAUUGGCGAACGGGUGAGUAACACGUGAGUAACCUGCCCUGGAAUCUGGGAUAACUUCGAGAAAUCGGAGCUAAUACCGGAUAGGACCUUGCACCGCAUGGUGUGGGGUGGAAAGUUUUUCGGUUUGGGAUGGACUCGCGGCCUAUCAGCUUGUUGGUGAGGUAAUGGCUCACCAAGGCGUCAACGGGUAGCCGGCCUGAAAGGGUGACCGGCCACACUGGGACUGAGACACGGCCCAUACUCCUACGGGAGGCAGCACUGGGGAAUAUUGCGCAAUGGGCGCAAGCCUGAUGCAGCAACGCCGCGUGCGGGAUGACGGCCUUCAGGUUGUAAACCGCUUUUAGUAGGGAAGAAGCUUCGGGUGACGGUACCUGCAGAAAAAGGACCGGCUAACUACGUGCCAGCAGCCGCGGUAAUACUUAGGGUCCGAGCGUUGUCCGGAAUUAUUGGGCGUAAAGAGCUGGUAGGCGGUUUGUCACGUCUGCUGUGAAAACUAUAGGCUCAACCUCUACCCUGCAGUGGGUACGGGCAGACUUGAGUGGUGUAGGGGAGACUGGAAUUCCUGGUGUAGCGGUGGAAUGCGCAGAUAUCAGGAGGAACACCGCUGGCGAAGGCAGGUCUCUGGGCACUUACUGACGCUGACGAGCGAAAGCGUGGGGAGCGAACAGGAUUAGAUACCCUGGUAGUCCACGCCGUAAACGUUGGGCGCUAGAUGUGGGGACCUUUCCACGGUUUCCGUGUCGUAGCUAACGCAUUAAGCGCCCCGCCUGGGGAGUACGGCCGCAAGGCUAAAACUCAAAGGAAUUGACGGGGGCCCGCACAAGCGGCGGAGCAUGCGGAUUAAUUUGAUGCAACGCGAAGAACCUUACCAAGGCUUGACAUACACGAGAACGGGCCAGAAAUGGUCAACUCUUUGGACACUCGUGAACAGCUGGUGCAUGGUUGUCGUCAGCUCGUGUCGUGAGAUGUUGGGUUAAGUCCCGCAACGAGCGCAACCCUCCUCGCAUGUUGCCAGCACCUUAUGGUGGGGACUCAUGUGAGACUGCCGGGGUCAACUCGGAGGAAGGUGGGGAGGACGUCAAAUCAUCAUGCCCCCUAUGUCUUGGGCUUCACGCAUGCUACAAUGGCCGGUACAAAGGGGUGCGAUGUCGUAAGGCGGAGCGAAUCCCAAAAAACCGGUUUCAGUUUGGAUUGAGGUUUGCAACUUGACCUCAUGAAGU
rnacentral:rRNA from 1 species